GGUAAGUUGGGGUCAGCAGGCGUGGUAGGUCGAAUGUGUGAAGGGUUAAUCGGAAGUACUGGGCGUAAAGUGGUCGUAGGCGGUUUGUUAAGGCUGGCGUGAAAUCCCCUGGCGCAACCUUGGAAUGGUGAGUGAUACUGGCGAGCUAGAGUGUGUCAGAGGAUGGUGGAAUUCCCGGUGUAGCGGUGAAAUGCGUAGAGAUCGGGAGGAACAUCAGUGGCGAAGGCGGCCAUCUGGGACAACACUGACGCUGAAGCACGAAAGCGUGGGGAGCAAACAGGAUUAGAUACCCUAGUAGUC
rnacentral:rRNA from 1 species